CAGGAGUGGACAUUUCGGUCCCUCGAGCCGCGCUCGGUUCGGGGCCGAGGAGAGGCUUCCUCUGUGCAGCCGUCUCGUUCCCAAGUCCUUACACUCUCGGGAGGCUCCCGGGAAUGUCGCGGCUGCACCGGAGCCGAAUCGCCCUUCCCACGUAGAGCCGCUCGCGCUCGCUUGGUGCGCGGCCUCCCUCGAACUUCACCAGGCCGGGCUCUCUCCACCCUCUGGGCACGUCCUCCUUCCCUGUCCGAGCCCCUCGGGAAGAGUGGUGGCCUGGGGCCGCGCGUGGGACCAGGUUUGGCCGUUCGGGCCAACUCUAGGGAUCGGAACUCGAGCGCGUAGCCGGCAAAGCUGCUGUAGCUGGAAAGAAGGUGUUGGCCCCAGGAGCUAAGUAGGGGAAGGGGGGCGCCGAGGUCUUGGAACCUUUGAUCUGCAAAGGGACACUUCAAUCAAUAGCCGAGGGCUGGGACAAGACACCCGGGGAGUCCCUUCGUGUCUGCAGAGGGAGAAAAGCAGCGGGUCGUGGUGGGGAUUCAGCUGCUGCUCCAGACAGGGAUCAUGGAACCCUCCCUUCCAGGGUCCGCGUGUGUGUGUGUGUAGGCGUGUGUACGUUCAAGAAGCUUGUGCCAGAGGUGUCUCUGCAAAGAUCUUGGGUUUGCCGAGCUGUGGGGGCUCAGAGGUUCCGAGUGUGGGAAUGUGUGUCAAAGUGGGAAGGAAGUUCAGUAGGUGUGGUGGGAGAGUUCGCUUGGCUCCCCUUUUCCUCCACGAAGACUUUCCCAGCCCUCGGCACUUCCGCUUUUUUCUCUUCCCUCCUCUCUGGCCCAAACCCGGCCGGCUUGCAGGUUAUGGCCACUUUGCAGCGUUUAUAGCCAAUUACAGCCGUAUAAAUCAGAGCAGCCGUUGGGGGCUGUCUCUGGGCAUCGGGAUUUGCGUCACUGGGCACAUGCCGGGGACCGACGAGUGAAAACCAGGACGAAAGACAAAUACCGAGUCGUGUACACGGACCACCAGCGCUUGGAGCUGGAGAAGGAGUUUCACUACAGUCGCUACAUCACCAUUCGGAGAAAGGCCGAGCUGGCAGCCACGCUGGGGCUCUCCGAGAGGCAGGUGCGACCACCUCGCUCCCUCCAGGCCUGGUCACUGCCUGGGGGAGUCCAGUGGGGAGGCUUAGAAACCAGGCCCCAGGAUCCACCUAGUUCUGUGGGCAGAAUAAAGCAAGAAGGUGGCAUGUAUGUUCCUUCUAG
rnacentral:lncRNA from 1 species